CCGAAAUACUCAUUUGCGUUUCCAUGUAUUCUAUCCUCUUAAAAGUUCUCGGUCACAGUGCAAUAUAGCAUUUGCAGUAGCUCCAACAGUGCUUCCUUUAUGAAACAUUCAGUGGGGAGUUCUCCUUCCAGCUCUGCCCCACUCCUGCCUUUCUACACUUGUGUAGAGAUAUAGCCAGGAUGAUGACAAGGAUGAUGACCACAAAUACCACAGCUCCAAUGAUGUAGAAUAUUUCUCUGAAUUCCCCUUUCUCCUGGCCCAUACACUCUACCGGGCUGUCUGUACUCUUCCGGUUAACUGUUCGGGAGGGAAUCACUGCUUGAACACUGAAACAGUAGUUUUCUCCUUUAUCCACAUCAAUCAAAAACUCAUUAGUGUUUGUUUUGGCUGUUUUCUGUAAAAAGAUAGAGUUCUU
rnacentral:lncRNA from 1 species